rnacentral:rRNA from 1 species
GACAGAGGGUGCAAACGUUGUUCGGAUUUACUGGGCGUAAAGCGCGUGUAGGCGGCUUGGCAAGUUGGAUGUGAAAGCCCACGGCUCAACCGUGGAAGCGCAUCCAAAACUGCUUCGCUCGAGUCUCGGAGAGGAAGGUGGAAUGCUUGGUGUAGAGGUGAAAUUUGUAGAUAUCAAGCAGAACACCUGCGGCGAAGGCGGCCUUCUGGACGAUGACUGACGCUGAGACGCGAAAGCGUGGGGAGCAAACAGG